UACGAAGGGGGCUAGCGUUGCUCGGAAUUACUGGGUGUAAAGGGCGCGUAGGCGGACAGUUAAGUCAGAGGUGAAAGCCCAGGGCUCAACCCUGGAAUAGCCUUUGAUACUGGCUGUCUUGAGUGCGGGAGAGGUGUGUGGAACUCCGAGUGUAGAGGUGAAAUUCGUAGAUAUUCGGAAGAACACCAGUGGCGAAGGCGACACACUGGCCCGUAACUGACGCUGAGGCGCGAAAGCGUGGGGAGCAAACGGG
rnacentral:rRNA from 1 species